AACUCUCUAUAAAGAAAAUUCUCUCAAGAAAAAUCUCAUAUCUCUCGGAAGGAAUUUUUACAUAACCAUUUGCUUUUGUAAAAAUUGUUCUUCCCUUCUCCAAAGUUGAGAUCUCACAAUCUCAAUUCUGGUUGAAUAAUGACAAGAAAGACUCAAUCAUGGUGUUCUUAUUCGUGGCUGUUUGUAAGAUUGCGGAGAAGAAAUUCUUGAAGAAAGUUUACAAGAAAUUCGUCCAGAAAAUAUUGAAGAAGGUGGCCCACAGAAACAACUACACUUGGAGAGCUGAUAUGUUCACACGGCUUCAACUUCUUUGCAUGAAGAAGGACCAAAAUUUAGUUUUACAAAGAUGGUUGGAUUGGAAUCCCUGUGUGGACGAAAGUGGAGCUUAGGGUUAAAAUGUUGUUGGACCAAAAUGGCUUGUGUAAGAAUUGGUUGAUAAAAGAAAAUCUUUCAACCUUAGGUGGGGUUUUUUUAAUUUUUUAUUUAGGAACAAACCUUAGGUGGUUUAAAAAUGAGUGGAAUCCCAAGAAUUAUAUAAUUAUUUUUUUAAAAAAAUUAGUUCAAUUAAAAGUAAGGAGAUUCAAACUACAUAUCUCGUUGUUUCAAACAAACUUGUAUGCCAAUCGAGCUAUGCUCGAUUUGACAAGAAUUAUACUAGAUAAAUCAUAUGAUACUUGCGGAA